rnacentral:rRNA from 1 species
UACGGAGGGGGCUAGCGUUGUUCGGAAUUACUGGGCGUAAAGCGCACGUAGGCGGCAUCGCAAGUCGGAUGUGAAAUCCCUCGGCUCAACCAAGGAAGUGCAUCCGAAACUGCAGUGCUUGAGUACAGAAGAGGAUCGCGGAAUUCCCGGUGUAGAGGUGAAAUUCGUAGAUAUCGGGAGGAACACCAGUGGCGAAGGCGGCGAUCUGGGCUGAUACUGACGCUGAGGUGCGAAAGCGUGGGGAGCAAACAGG